UUUUUUUUUUUUUCAGCUCCAUACCCCUGAACUUCUCAAAUAUUUCCAAUGCUCAUCAUUGGGUCUUCAGCAUGGUGAAAAGGGUUGUAGGUGAUUCUUCUGUGUUGUACAGUUGAAGAGCAGCUUAACCCACACUUCCUUUUUGGUCUCACUUCUCCCCUUCGUUCUGGUCAAAUCCUGACUGUUUCAAAAGGAAAACUGAGUGAGUACAGGAAAAAGGACAUAUAUAUCUAUAUAUGUCAUCUACUGCAGUCAAUUUUGUGGCAGGUGUUACUUCAAUGACUGCAAGUCAAUGACCAUGAGGCCCACUUAUUAAAAAUAUGAAACAAAGCAAGCUUUGGUGACUCACACUUGUGAUCCCAGCAUUUGGGAAGCCGAGGCAGGAAGACUGCUUGAGGAUAGGAGUUUAAGAUAAGCCUGGGCUACAUAGUGAGGCCCCAUCUCUACAAAAAAAAAAUUUUUUUUUGGCCAGGCGAGGUGGCUCACGUUUGUAAUCCUAACACUUUGGGAUGCCGAGGCAGAUGGAUCACUUGAUCUCAGGAGAUCGAGGCCAGCCUGAGCAACAUGGCAAACCCUGUCUCUAUUACAAAUACAAAAAUUAUCCAGGCAUGGUGGCACAUGCCUGUGGUCUCAGCUACUCAGGAGACUGAGGUCGGAGAAUCUCUUGAGCCUGGGAGGCAGGGGUUGCAGUGAGCCAAGAUCACGCCAUUGCACUCCAGUCUGGGUGACAGAGUGAGACCCCAUCUCAAAAAAUAAAAUAAAAUAACCAGGUGUGGUGGUGUGCAGCUGUAGUCUCAGCUACUUGGGAGGCUGAAGUGCGAGGGUCUCUUGAGCCCUCCUCCUCACUUGAGCCCAGGGUACUGGGAUUAUAGAUGUGAGCCACUGCUCUUGGCCACAAGUGCCUUUUGAAGGGCAUAUCUUUAAUGUAUAUUAUUCAAGGAACUUAAAUAAUUUAAUUCCCUCUAAAGGCUAAUGCUAAUAGUAUUCCCAUUUUACAGAUGAGAAAAACAGGCUCAGAGAGGUUAAGUCGUUUCCUCAAGGUAACUCAGCAAGUAAGUAGCAGAGUGAGGAUUCAAACCUGCCGGCACUAAAACACACAUUUCACGAUAUGUUAUUGACUGUAAUGUCAAAAGAGGAAGAAAACAUGUUGUUUGCCCUUCUUGAGGUUUCAGUCUCUGUAGGAAGAAAAGGUACAACUUUAAAGAUAGAAAAUUAUGCUAUUGCCUAAGGGAGUUUUAAGCCCAUUGCGCAUUGCUAAAAGAACAAAGGAGAGGUUAGAAUAUACUUCCUGCUCAAGAAAGACUCCUCUGGAAUGCUUCCUGGGGGAGGGUAUUCAAAGCAGGUAAAUGCUGGCAGAUAUACGUGGUUGACAGAGUAGGAGAGGCAGAGUCAGGAUGUAGAAAUGCACAGGGGCUUGCUUGGGAAAUGGAAUGUUGUCUACCUUGAUUGGACUAUAAAGAUACUGGGGAUUAAUGUAAGGUAACCCUAGAACAUAACAGGUUGUGUCCAUCGCCCUUCUGAAGAAGAUCUUGGAUGUCAGGGGUUUACCCUGUUUACCAAGUGGCAAAAGACCUUCCAUGAAGAUUUUAAGGCAAGGAGUGAAAUGGUCUGAGCAGUGCAGUGAAGGUGACCCCAU
rnacentral:lncRNA from 1 species